rnacentral:rRNA from 1 species
GCUGUUAUGGCAGACUUUUAGAGAAUCAUAGUUCUUGGGCUCUGGGGGAACUACGACCGCAAGGCUGAAACUUGAAGGAAUUGACGGAAGGGCACACCAGGGGUGGAGCCUGUGGCUUAAUUUGAAUCAACACGGGGAAACUUACCAGGACCAGAUGUUUUUUAUGACUGACAGGCUUCGGGUCUUUCAGGAUAUUGCUUUUGGUGGUGCAUGGCCGUUGGUGGUGCGUGGGUUGACCUGUCUAGCGUUGAUUCAGCUAACGAGCGAGAUUAUCGCCAAUUAUAUGCUUCCCAUGGG